GACAGAGGCCUCAAGCGUUAGGCGGAAUCACUGGGCUUAAAGCGUGUGUAGGCGGGAUCGUUAAGUGUCUUGUGAAAUCCCACGGACUCACCCGUGGAAACUGCUGGGCAUACUGGCGAAUCUUGGGCCAACUAGGGGCAACUGGAACAAGCGGUGGAGCGGUGAAAUGCGUAGAUAUCGCUUGGAACGCCAAAGGUGAAAACAGGUUGCUG
rnacentral:rRNA from 1 species